GUAUACGGCCACACCACCCUGAAUACAUGCUGUCUCAUCUGAUCUCAAAAGCUCAGCAGGGUUGGGUCUGGUUGAUACU
rnacentral:rRNA from 1 species